rnacentral:lncRNA from 1 species
CAAUGGAUCAACAAAAGUAAAUCGUCUGUCUUCUCAUAAACUGUGAUGCAAUCACUCUAAUCUAUAAGCUUCUCAAGCCUCUGUAGCUGAAGCCAUGUUUGGUGUUGUGCUGCACUAGGCUGCUAGCUCCACAGAGCAAUGGCUGUUUCUUCUCCUACUCAACUUCCACUUCAUUUCAAGCACCCUCAUUAUCAUCCUCAUAUGUUUUUAUAUUUUGAUUCCAAUCAGUAUGCCAAUACUAGCUUUUAAUCCCCAUUAUCUAAAAUAAUAUUAUUAAUACUAGCUCAGUUCAGAAUCAAGCUUCAGUUGGUGUCAUAGUUAGAUAUUAUAUGGAUCAGUAUUAUAUAUAUAGAGCUUUAUAGUUAGGAUUUAUACAUAGAGAGACAUGUAGGAACAAGACAAAUUCAUCGUAGUGACCAUGAAGGAAAUAUGUGAUAUGUUGUACACACUACACAGUGGAUGGAUAAUAAUUCGGCCGAGAGAUGUUUUGAGUGGCUGUUGUUCCUUUCUUGAUGC